rnacentral:rRNA from 1 species
AACGUAGGUACCGAGCGUUAUCCGGAUUUACUGGCGUAAAGCGCGUUCAGGCGGUUUGGCAAGUCGGGCAUGAAAUCUCUCGGCUCAACCGGGAGAGGUUGUCCGAUACUGCUGGACUGGAGGCAGUAGAGGGUGGUGGAAUUCCGGGUGUAGUGGUGAAAUGCGUAGAGAUCCGGAGGAACACCAGUGGCGAAAGCGGACCACCUGGACUGCACCUGACGCUGAAACGCGAAAGCUAGGGAGCGAACGGG